GGGUUGUGAGGUUAAGCGACUAAGCGUACACGGUGGAUGCCCUGGCAGUCAGAGGCGAUGAAGGACGUGCUAAUCUGCGAAAAGCGUCGGUAAGGUGAUAUGAACCGUUAUAACCGGCGAUGUCCGAAUGGGGAAACCCAGUGUGAUUCGUCACACUAUCGUUAACUGAAUACAUAGGUUAACGAGGCGAACCGGGGGAACUGAAACAUCUAAGUACCCCGAGGAAAAGAAAUCAACCGAGAUUCCCCCAGUAGCGGCGAGCGAACGGGGAGCAGCCCAGAGUCUGAAUCAGCUUGUGUGUUAGUGGAACGGUCUGGAAAGUCCGACGGUACAGGGUGAUAGUCCCGUACACCAAAAUGCACAGGCUGUGAACUCGAAGAGUAGGGCGGGACACGUGGUAUCCUGUCUGAAUAUGGGGGGACCAUCCUCCAAGGCUAAAUACUCCUGACUGACCGAUAGUGAACCAGUACCGUGAGGGAAAGGCGAAAAGAACCCCGGCGAGGGGAGUGAAAAAGAACCUGAAACCGUGUACGUACAAGCAGUGGGAGCACCUUCGGGUGUGACUGCGUACCUUUUGUAUAAUGGGUCAGCGACUUAUAUUCUGUAGCAAGGUUAACCGUAUAGGGGAGCCGCAGGGAAACCGAGUCUUAACUGGGCGUUAAGUUGCAGGGUAUAGACCCGAAACCCGGUGAUCUAGCCAUGGGCAGGUUGAAGGUUGGGUAACACUAACUGGAGGACCGAACCGACUAAUGUUGAAAAAUUAGCGGAUGACUUGUGGCUGGGGGUGAAAGGCCAAUCAAACCGGGAGAUAGCUGGUUCUCCCCGAAAGCUAUUUAGGUAGCGCCUCGUGAACUCAUCUUCGGGGGUAGAGCACUGUUUCGGCUAGGGGGUCAUCCCGACUUACCAACCCGAUGCAAACUACGAAUACCGAAGAAUGUUAUCACGGGAGACACACGGCGGGUGCUAACGUCCGUCGUGAAGAGGGAAACAACCCAGACCGCCAGCUAAGGUCCCAAAGUCAUGGUUAAGUGGGAAACGAUGUGGGAAGGCACAGACAGCCAGGAUGUUGGCUUAGAAGCAGCCAUCAUUUAAAGAAAGCGUAAUAGCUCACUGGUCGAGUCGGCCUGCGCGGAAGAUGUAACGGGGCUAAACCAUGCACCGAAGCUGCGGCAGCGACACUAUGUGUUGUUGGGUAGGGGAGCGUUCUGUAAGCCUGCGAAGGUGACCUGUGAGGGUUGCUGGAGGUAUCAGAAGUGCGAAUGCUGACAUAAGUAACGAUAAAGCGGGUGAAAAGCCCGCUCGCCGGAAGACCAAGGGUUCCUGUCCAACGUUAAUCGGGGCAGGGUGAGUCGACCCCUAAGGCGAGGCCGAAAGGCGUAGUCGAUGGGAAACAGGUUAAUAUUCCUGUACUUGGUGUUACUGCGAAGGGGGGACGGAGAAGGCUAUGUUAGCCGGGCGACGGUUGUCCCGGUUUAAGCAUGUAGGCUGGUUAUCCAGGCAAAUCCGGAUAAUCAAGGCUGAGGUGUGAUGACGAGGCACUACGGUGCUGAAGUAACAAAUGCCCUGCUUCCAGGAAAAGCCUCUAAGCAUCAGGUAACAUCAAAUCGUACCCCAAACCGACACAGGUGGUCAGGUAGAGAAUACCAAGGCGCUUGAGAGAACUCGGGUGAAGGAACUAGGCAAAAUGGUGCCGUAACUUCGGGAGAAGGCACGCUGGUGUGUAGGUGAAGCCCCUGCGGGUGGAGCUGAGACCAGUCGAAGAUACCAGCUGGCUGCAACUGUUUAUUAAAAACACAGCACUGUGCAAACACGAAAGUGGACGUAUACGGUGUGACGCCUGCCCGGUGCCGGAAGGUUAAUUGAUGGGGUUAUCCGUAAGGAGAAGCUCUUGAUCGAAGCCCCGGUAAACGGCGGCCGUAACUAUAACGGUCCUAAGGUAGCGAAAUUCCUUGUCGGGUAAGUUCCGACCUGCACGAAUGGCGUAAUGAUGGCCAGGCUGUCUCCACCCGAGACUCAGUGAAAUUGAACUCGCUGUGAAGAUGCAGUGUACCCGCGGCAAGACGGAAAGACCCCGUGAACCUUUACUAUAGCUUGACACUGAACAUUGAGCCUUGAUGUGUAGGAUAGGUGGGAGGCUUUGAAGCGUGGACGCCAGUCUGCGUGGAGCCAACCUUGAAAUACCACCCUUUAAUGUUUGAUGUUCUAACGUUGGCCCCUGACCGGGGUUGCGGACAGUGUCUGGUGGGUAGUUUGACUGGGGCGGUCUCCUCCCAAAGCGUAACGGAGGAGCACGAAGGUUAGCUAAUCCUGGUCGGACAUCAGGAGGUUAGUGCAAUGGCAUAAGCUAGCUUGACUGCGAGCGUGACGGCGCGAGCAGGUGCGAAAGCAGGUCAUAGUGAUCCGGUGGUUCUGAAUGGAAGGGCCAUCGCUCAACGGAUAAAAGGUACUCCGGGGAUAACAGGCUGAUACCGCCCAAGAGUUCAUAUCGACGGCGGUGUUUGGCACCUCGAUGUCGGCUCAUCACAUCCUGGGGCUGAAGUAGGUCCCAAGGGUAUGGCUGUUCGCCAUUUAAAGUGGUACGCGAGCUGGGUUUAGAACGUCGUGAGACAGUUCGGUCCCUAUCUGCCGUGGGCGCUGGAGAAUUGAGGGGGGCUGCUCCUAGUACGAGAGGACCGGAGUGGACGCAUCACUGGUGUUCGGGUUGUCAUGCCAAUGGCACUGCCCGGUAGCUAAAUGCGGAAGAGAUAAGUGCUGAAAGCAUCUAAGCACGAAACUUGCCCCGAGAUGAGUUCUCCCUGAGACUAUAAGUCUCCUGAAGGAACGUUAAAGACGAUGACGUUGAUAGGCCGGGUGUGUAAGCGCAGCGAUGCGUUGAGCUAACCGGUACUAAUGAACCGUGAGGCUUAACCUUACAACGCCGAAG
rnacentral:rRNA from 1 species